CUUUUUGUAACGGUCCAUUAUUUAUCAUACUCUUUUUUUAUUUUAAUAAAUUAAUUAUAUAGAUUUAAUUGAUCUUUAACUCGAAUGAAUAUUGAAAAAAAAAUAGAUAGUACCGAUAUGAUUAAUAGACAUAUUAGAUUUUAGGAUUCUCGAUUCUUUACACGUCAUCUUUAUUUAUAUAAAUCCAAGAUUAAUGAGGUUACUUUAUCACAGCAACCUAGCCAGCUUUAUAGUCAGACAACUAUUUCUACCGUUGAUGACCUUUUGCAGAUUCAGAAGAGAAAGACCGUUAACGAAAUAAAAGAGUAUCAUGAUAUAUGUUAAACUAUUGAUUUUAAAGUUGACAUCCAUCCUUCAUAUUAUCUUCAAUCUCUUAUUGGUGCAUUUCAGGAGACUAUGUGUGUGACACUCACUAUGGUGAUAAGCAUCGACACAGAGCGUAGGUGAUUUUAUAACUCUUGCAAGAAAUGUACCAAAAAAAUUAUUUCGGAUGGCUCUGGGUUUUACUGUGAGAAGUGCAAUGGGCUCGUGAUAUCUUUUGUACCUAGGUAAAAAUAUAAAACAAAUUGACUGAUGGAUAUUUAUGUUAAUAUCAUUUACACUAAUUUUAUCUCCAACCAUUUUGUAUCAGUUCAAGAUUGAGUUGAGGGUGAUUAAUGAAGCUGGUAGUGCUGUUUUCAUUAUUUUUGAUCGUCAGGCUGCUAAGUUCCUCCAGUGCACUAUUGCUGAAUUAAGAGAUUUUAUGUAUAUAAUAUGUACCUAAGAGAUGGAGUGCUGUGUCGGGUUUGAUAUAUUCUAUUCUAUUUACUGUGGUUAAUUUUUUUGUUCUCUGAUUCAACACAAAAUUCUGAUGAUAUCAAUCAAACUCCCGAGCAUUUAGAUCAAUUUCUUGACAAGAAGUUCAUUUUCAAAAUGCAAAUCACUAAUAGGAACAUUAAGGGUUAUAGCUACAUAUACUUGGUAAUGCGUAUAACCAAUGAUAAAGAUUUGAUUACAGUCUAUUGUUCUAAUAAUGAUUCAGCAUAGGUACAUAUUUAUUCGAAAUAGUAUUUUUUUUCUAAUUAUAUAUUCCUCAUAUGAUUAAUGUAAUUUUUAUUUUAGGUAUACGAGGAAGAUAUUAAUACUCAGAGCAUGAGCGGGAUGAUAUCUGCUACAAUUGAGUCUAAAGUGAGAAACACCUCUGAUGGAUUAACACCUACCAAACGUAGUUCUCCAUAAUUAAGCAACAAGUUAGAUAACAAUGAAAAUCUCACAGCCCAAAUGUCUUCCAAUACCAAGAAAAAAAUCAAAGUGGAGUAGUAGUUUUAUAUUUUAUUGGUUAAUUAAUUAGAAGUACUUUUUUCUUCUACCAUAAUGAUGUAUCUUUUUAGUGGUCUAUUUCAUAAUAAUUGUAAUUUUGUCAAACUAUAUUGGUAUUUAAUGUCUGUGCUUUUGUUAGUAUUUAUGAAUUUUUUUUAGUGUUAUUCUUGACUGUUUUAUAUAUUAUUAAGCAAUUAAGUAACAUGUUUUGUUCAAUCUUGACAUUUUCUCUAUAUAUUUUAUAUAUUUAUAUAUUUAUUUACUUUAUUGCUUAAUUUUAUUGAGCAAUUAUUGUAUUAAAAAUAAAUUGACACUGGACCUCUAACCCCUUUGCUUAGUGUAAAAUAUAUUAAUUAAAAUGACACUUGGUAUCAUUCAAUUCAUAGACCCUUUUUUUAUUAUUUAUAUUUAAAUCAUAAAAUACUUUAACUUUUGGGAUUUUUACUAAGUAUGAUACUUAAACCAAGAAUUAUAUAAUGGCAACAUUUAUAUAUCAACAAAAUAUAAUACUAUCAUCCAUGAAAAAAGAGAUAGAACUAAAAUGGAACCUACUG
rnacentral:lncRNA from 1 species